AAAGCUUUGAAUCAUCAUCUGUUCUUAUCAGUUUAAUAUCUGAUACGUCCCCCAUCGGGGGACUACAUAUUAAAUGGAUUUUUCGAA
rnacentral:snRNA from 8 species